AUACCGGCAGCUCAAGUGGUAGCCGCUUUUAUUGGGCCUAAAGCGUCCGUAGCCGGUCUGAUAAGUCUCUGGUGAAAUCCCACAGCUUAACUGUGGGAAUUGCUGGAGAUACUAUCAUGACUCGAGGUCGGGAGAGGCUGGAGGUACUCCCAGGGUAGGGGUGAAAUCCUGUAAUCCUGGGAGGACCACCUGUGGCGAAGGCGUCCAGCUGGAACGAACCUGACGGUGAGGGACGAAAGCCAGGGGCGCGAACCGGAUUAGAUACCCGGGUAGUCCUGGCCGUAAACGAUGUGGACUUGGUGUUGGGAUGGCCUCGAGCUGCCCCAGUGCCGAAGGGAAGCUGUUAAGUCCACCGCCUGGGAAGUACGGUCGCAAGACUGAAACUUAAAGGAAUUGACGGGG
rnacentral:rRNA from 1 species